rnacentral:rRNA from 1 species
CCUACGGGGGGCAGCAGUGGGGAAUAUUGGACAAUGGGCGAAAGCCUGAUCCAGCCAUGCCGCGUGUGUGAAGAGGGCCUUCGGGUUGUAAAGCACUUUCAGUGGGGAAGAAAGCCUUGGGGCUAAUACCCUCGAGGAAGGACAUCACCCACAGAAGAAGCACCGGCUAACUCCGUGCCAGCAGCCGCGGUAAUACGGAGGGUGCGAGCGUUAAUCGGAAUUACUGGGCGUAAAGCGCGCGUAGGCGGUCUGAUAAGCCGGUUGUGAAAGCCCCGGGCUCAACCUGGGAACGGCAUCCGGAACUGUCAGGCUAGAGUGCAGGAGAGGAAGGUAGAAUUCCCGGUGUAGCGGUGAAAUGCGUAGAGAUCGGGAGGAAUACCAGUGGCGAAGGCGGCCUUCUGGACUGACACUGACGCUGAGGUGCGAAAGCGUGGGUAGCAAACAGGAUUAGAUACCCGUGUAGUC